AAAGCUGAGAACCACAUUUGAGAAUCACAUCUCUUCCAGAACAGUAAUGGAAGGUUCCAGUUUCAGUCAACACUGGUCAGGUGAGUUUAUAGGAAUACCAGUAUAUUGCAAACUGAAGCUACAUCAGAAGAAAAAAGCAAGGAGCAACAACAAGUAAUAAGGAAAUGAAAGGGCCAGACAGCUGCAGUGGGAUAUGUCUUCAUAUUGGUCUCAAUGAUAAAGGAACAAGAAAUCACAUUACUUCAGCCCUUGUUACGUCAUCAUCACCAGACCCAUAGAACUUUCAGAGAUAUCAGGAUUUACAGAAGGAUCUUCUAAUGAAGGAAAAAGCUAUUAAAUCAACAGAUCUUUGCAGAGAUGACUGAGAUUCUUCACUAUUUAAGCAAUUUUCAAGAGGAUUAUAUGGUGGCUUAAUUGCAGCUGUUACAUGCAAAACAAUUAGUCAGAUAACCAUGCUAGAAUUGGAAAUGUAAGAUGAUUUAAUUCUAGUGGUCUAAAAAGAAAAUUGCUUUGUUAUUUUGUGAGUAGUCUUAUCUCAUUUUCCAUUAUAACUUAAACUUUGAAUCCACCUUUCAAACAGUAUGCAAGGCAGUUCUUAAAUUAUAGCAAAGGUUUUAUUGUUGUUGCUGUUGUUUACCAGUUUUCAAAGUAUUUGGAAAAUGCAUUCCAGAGGGAAAUGCAAUCAUUUCUGUACAUAUUAUACACCUCCUAUUCACUAUAUUUGGCACCUGUCUACUUGGUAGGCCAAACAAAGCUUAUUCUCUAACAUAAAUGUGAAAAGCUGUGUAAGAGCUUUGUAAAAUUUUAAAAGCAUCAUUAAAGUUAAUCUAGAUCAGUACUCCUACUAUCAUAUGAUUCACACUAAAAAUGGACUUCUUACUCUGCAAUUUCAAGCUAACAUACAUUAAUGUCUAGGUAAGAAUGUUAUAAGAAAUGUCAAAACUUAUAACAGAAACAUUUCUAUGUAGAAUUUAAUUUACCCUUCCAUUUGACAUUCCAAAGAGUAGUUCUCAGAGGCAAUACAUGACCAUAUUUUGUAUUCUUACUGUGCACUUACCUUUUGAAUUAAAAAAAAAAAAAAAGACAACCUUUUAUGGAAAGAUAACUGUAAUCACAGUCAAGCAUUCUGUGCCUAGCUGUAUUUCUGUUUAUGAACAUAAUUUGGACCUCUUCCAUAUAAGGUUUCUGAACUGUUUGGUCACCUGGGGACAGAAGGAUUUGAGUCCUCAGUUGCAUGAUCACCCAGAGAGCUAUCAUUUCUUGAAGCACCAUAAUGAUAUUUGUAAAAUGUAAGUCUGACUAUUCUGACACUUAAAAUAAUUUUGAAGUGUGCAUGAGGUAACUAGCAGGGAAACGGAAAUAGCAAGAAGUUUGACAACUGUAUGUGAGGUUUCUGACUUCAUGAAUCCAAUAACUGCAUUUUUGAAGGGUUUCUGUAUAUAAACUGUAUGAUCAGAUAAGAUAGUGGUAACUUCCAUGUUUUCCCUGAAAAACAAAACAAACAAACAAACAAACAAAAACUUUCACAAUUUACUCUAAUUCUUAUCAAGUAAACCAAAGAAAUCUAAAAAAAUAUAAGGUAUGGUAAAUUCAAAACUGAGCCACUUAUUCUCUCUUAUUUGCAGAACACAGUUAGCAGCAAGUGUCACAAAUAGGGAAGACAAAGAGAAGAGUCUGUCUUCAACUUUUUAGGAAGAUCUAACACUAAGGUAGCACUAAGACAACAAAGUACUACAGGGCAAAAUUGUAAAGUGAAACAGAAUAAUUUUCAAUCUUGACAAUGAGGAAUUCCAAUCAGUGAUCAUAAAACUAGGUAGAACAGCAAAGUGACAGGUUUAUGACAAUGUAGACAACUGCAAUGCAAAACACUUUUGAAAGAUUUUGCCCUUCAAAAUGUGUCUUUCUCUAUGAGUUAUUCCAAUCAGGAUAGAAAUUCCAUACAGAGAUUCUUGACAACAAUUUGAAAACAGACACUAAAAAAACACUAAAAAUACCAUAACUGUCCAAAUAAGAAGAAAUUAUUCAAAAUGAAAUACCUGCAAAUAUUAAGCUGGAUAUAAAAAAUAUGAUAUUCUAAUGUUCUUUUAUUUAUCUUGUGAUAAACGCACACAUAUCUCCCUAUUGAUGGCCUCUACAUGAAAAGCAAAAUAAAAUAAAAAGAUAAAUAACUAUUUUUCAAGGAUAUGCUUGUAAGAAAACUGCUAUAAGUAUGGAGCCAUAAAAUCUGUAGAAGACAUAACAUUAAUAAACAUUACAUUAGUUUAUUUUGUGUUAUUCUGUUUCUGAAAUAAUAAAUAUCAUAAGAAUAUGAAU
rnacentral:lncRNA from 7 species